UACGGAGGGGGCAAGCGUUGUUCGGAGUCACUGGGCGUAAAGAGCUCGUAGGCGGCUUUGUAAGUCGGGAGUUAAAGGCAUCAGCUCAACUGGUGUAAUGCUUUUGAAACUACAUUGCUAGAGUACCAGAGAGGUAUGCGGAAUUUCCUGUGUAGCGGUGAAAUGCGUAGAUAUAGGAAGGAACACCGGUUGCGAAGGCGGCAUACUGGCUGGUAACUGACGCUGAGGAGCGAAAGCGUGGGUAGCAAAC
rnacentral:rRNA from 1 species